GCGGAGAUGAAAUGUUGAAGUGCAAAGUUGACUUUGAGGCUCUAAUCGCACCAUCUUGAUCCCGAACAACCAUUCCUGACGCCGAUCUAAAUUUCCUGAUAUCAAAGGCUGCAUCAAACUGUAUUAUCUCCCUUGAUGUAUCUCUGCCUCGUCCUGCAGCUUCAGUAGACGCGUGAGAAAUCCUACUUCCCCUACUUCCUUCAAGUUCCAUUAGACAACUCUGUAUUUUCUGUGAAAGAUCUAAUCCUGAUAUGGCUUUCUUCUCAUGUAUAAUAUGAUUCCGCGAGCCCCAUAAAACCCAUAGAGCACAACAAAACAAUCGAGUCUGCUCCUUUGUUCCUUUAUCAAAGACCCAGGACAUUUUCGAAACACAUGAUGGCUAUCUUCCUCCUCAGAUUCGCAACGAGGGCAUCUGGAGUUUGCAGUUACUCUUUUAUAUUUCAGAUUAGCCAGGGAUGGGAUAUAGUUCCAGGAAAUCCUCCAUAUAAGGAUUAAAAUCUUUUGUGGUAGUUGUAAAUUCCAUAGGUUCUUGUAAAAUUCUUUAGUUUCGGUCUGUACUAAAUAAUUAUUAGGCUUCAGACUAGCUUCUUGUAAUAGUUUGUAUGCGCUCCGAACUGAGAACUCACCUGAUUGUUCACCUUUCCACACCUGCAUGUCUUCACAGUCUAUUCUUGCUAGAGGAAUCUGCAGAAUUCUCUAGGUGACAUCCCUUUGGAAGGUUCAAUCCCUGGUAUCCAUCGAUCAUUCCAAAUGGAUAUUGCGGUUCCUGCCCCCACUCUCCAUCUUAGCCCUUUGAGAAGGGUUCCUUUCGCUGCCCAAAUGCUCCUCUAGGUAAGAGAUGGUCACUACUAUGGAUCCACUUCCUGAUGCGGUAGAAAAGACAACUGGGAAACACAGAAAUCAAAGAACAAAAGUUCCACACGAACAAGAAAAACAAAGACUUCUACCAGCGGCGGCAGACAAAGAAAAAAAAAUUGUUCCAUUCCAUUAAAUUUUUUUUUGUUGUUGUUGGUUUUUUAAGUAUUAACAUAAAACAAGUAAAAAAAGCACAAAGGUAUACAUGUAUUAUUAAACAAUA